GGUACCCCAUCCUUCCCCCCAAAUCAGUCUCACUUUCCUGAAGAAAAUACAUCAAAUUCUCAGGAUACGUUAUUCCAUGACAGUCAAAACUCCUUGAGAUAUAAACAUAACCUAACAAGGACUUGGAUAACAAAUACUUGGAUAAUGAAAACAUCCAAUAAUUAUGUGCCACCUACUCACCAGGAUCAUGCUCCCACAGGAAAAUGUGGAACAAAGCUCUCCUCAAGGGGAAAGAAAACGGGAUACAUGGCUUGGAAAACCUUCACUAACACUCUCAUGUGAAGAGUGAUAGAAUGCUAAUUUCCCACAGAUUCAUUAUCACCAUGAAAUGAAAUUUUGGAACACAUCAC
rnacentral:lncRNA from 10 species